UACGGGGGGUGCAAGCGUUGUUCGGAUUUACUGGGCGUAAAGCGCACGCAGGCGGGCUGUCAAGUCGGGUGUGAAAACCAGGAGCUUAACUUCUGGCCUGCACUCGAAACUGGCAGUCUUGAGUACCGGAGAGGAUGGCGGAAUUCCUGGUGUAGCGGUGAAAUGCGUAGAUAUCAGGAAGAACACCGGUGGCGAAGGCGGCCAUCUGGACGGAUACUGACGCUCAGGUGCGAAGGCUAGGGGAGCAAACAGGAUUAGAUACCCCCGGUA
rnacentral:rRNA from 1 species